GGGUCAUAGCUCAGUGGUAGAUUAUCCACUUAACAUGUAGACAGUCACAGGUUCAAUCCCUGGCAUCUUCA